rnacentral:lncRNA from 1 species
CGGGGUGGCGCAGCCCCAGGGGAGGGCCCUCAGCCCGCUCGGGAGCCCGGACGGCGCCAGCACAGCGCCUACAGCACGCCGCGCCACGGCCCCCGCUUUGGAGAAGUCUCAGGAAACGGCGAGGAAGAAGAUACGUUGGAAGCAGCACCGUGAACUAUUCCCCACCUGAAGGAAGAAGCUCGUUCCCUUUUGGCUCCAGGACUAUUCGGGGUGGGCCUGUUGCCCUGAAACUGAGAGGUGACAGCCUGCUGGCAGCCCUCGCAGCCCUCGCUCCCUCUCGGCGCCUCCUCUGUCUGGGCACCCACUCUGGCGGCGCUCGAGAAGCCCUUCAGCCCGCUGCUGCACUGUGGGAGCCCCUUCCUGGGACGGCCGAGGCCGGAGCCGGCUCCCUCAGCUUGCGAGGAGGUGUGGAGAGAGGCAUGGGCGGGAACCUGGGCUGCGUGCGGCGCUUGCGGGCCAGCUAGAGUUCCGGGUGGGCAUGGGCUUGGCGGGCCCCACACUCGGAGCGGCCGGCCGGGCCGCCGGCCCCGGGCAGUGAGGGGCUUAGCACCCGGGCCAGCAGCUGCGGAGGGUGCGCCGGGUCCCCCAGCAGUGCCUGCCCACCGGCGCUGCGCUCGAUUUCUCUCCAGGCCUUAGCUGCCUCCCCGCCGGGCAGAGCUCAGGACCUGCAGCCUGCUAUGCCUGAGCCUCCCCCCACCCCCCUGCCGCCAUGGGCUCCUGCGUAGCCCGAGCCUCCCAGACGAGCGCCGCCCCCUGCUCCACGGCGCCCGAUCCCAUCGACCGCCCAAAGGCUGAGGAGUGCGGGCGCAGUGCGCGGGACUGGCAGGCAGCUCCACCAGCGGCCCUGAUGCGGGAUCCACUGGGUAAAGCCAGCUGGGCUCCUGAGUCUAGUGGGGACUUGGAGAACAUUUAUGUCUAGCUAAGGGAUUGUAAAUACACCAAUCGGCACUCUGUAUCUAGCUCAAGGUUUGUAAACUCACCAAUCAGCACCCUGUGUCUAGUUCAGAGUUUAUGGAUGCACCAAUCAGCGCUCUGUGUCUAGCUAAUCUGGUGGGGACUUGGAGAAUCUGUCUAGCUAAGGGAUUGCGAAUACACCAAUUGGCGCUCUGUAUCUAGCUCAAGGUUUGUGGAUGCACCAAUCAGCACUCUGUGUCUAGAUCAAGGUUUGUAAGUGCACCAAUCAGCGCUCUGUGUCUAGCUGAUCUGGUGGGGACCUGGAGAACCUUUAUGUCUAGCGAAGGGAUUGCGAAUACACCAAUCGCCACCCUGUAUCUAGCUCAAGGUUUGUAAAUGCACCAAUCAGCACUCUGUAUCUAGCUAAUCCAGUGGGGAUGUGGAGAACUUUUGUGUUUAGCUCAGGGAUUGUAAACACACCAAUCAGCACCCUGCCAAAACGGGCCAAUCAGUUCUCUGUAAAACAGACCAAUCGGCUCUCUGUAAAAUGGACCAAUCAGCAGGAUGUGGGUGGGGCCAGAUAAGUGAAUAAAAGCAGGCUGCCCAAGCUCGCAGUGGCAACCCACUCAGAUUCCGUUUCAUAGUGUGGAGGUUUUGUUCUUUCACUCUGCAGUAAAUCUUACUGCUGCUCAGUGUUUGGGUCUGUGCUACCUUUAUGAGCUGUAACACUCACGGUGGAAGCCUGCAGUCUCACUCCUGAGGCCAGGGAGACCACGAACCCACCAGGAGGAAUGAACAACUCCGGAGGCGCAGACUUAAGAGCUGUAACACUCACCGCGAAGGUCUGUAGUUUCACUUUUGAACCAGCGAGACCAUGAACCCGCCAGAAAGAAAAAACUGCCAACACAGCCGGACAUCAGAAGGAACAAACUGGGGACACGCUGCCUUUAAGAAACAUAACAGGCACCGUGAGGGUCCACGGCUUCAUUCUUGAAGUUAGUGAGACCAAGAACCCACCUAAUCCCGGGCACAAAACCACCUCAAUCUCCCAAAGACCGAAAGCCCUGGUGUCGCUGGGACCAGAGUUCUGGAGGCUGGAUGUCCAAGAUGAAGGCACUGCUAAACUCUGCAUCUGGAGAGGGUGGUUUCCUGAUUCACGGACAAUGUCUCCUCCCUGUGUCCUCACAUGGCCUCUACUCUGUGCGCACCUGGAGAGAGAGCGCCCCGUCCCUCCCUCUUCUGAUGAGGUCACCAGCCCUAUCAGCCUUGUCGGUUGGUGCUUUGGUUGUAUUCAGCUUUUGUGUUCAAGUUCAGAGCAGUUUCAAAGCAGGGGACGAGGUCUGGUAGAUCUAUUUAGAAGCUGUGUAUGAGUGUGUCUACUUAAUGGGUUCUCUUCCAUUUCAUCAACAAAAGAACUUUUUCUGAGAGCCUAUCGUGUCCAUGGAGAGCAGCUGAGGUAAAUCCUGGAGGUGACUGUCCCCCUAGGAGAUGAUGUGGAUGGGGAAAUAGUUCAUACGCAGCUCAGCGACCUUGAAGCGGCAUCCGAGGAGAUGUGGCCACGGGGCAGGCGACCGACACCAGCGAGUCCAGAGGGCCAGCGUGUGCACCACUGUGUGUCUCCAGAGACUUCAGGAAGCAGCCACCACGCCCGAGGAAUGCAGGAAGAUGGACACACGGCUGGGGAAGUACAAUGAAAGGCCAAGUAGGCAGCCUGUUCUCCUCAGAUCAGUCCCCCACGAACACUCAUUCCCGAGGACUCAUCCAAUACUAAUAAGAGAAUGCUCUUGUUUUUGAAGAAUUUUCUGAAAGCCAUCCUGACAAAUUAAGUAGAGUAUGCUGAAGAUAGUCAGACUUUGUUUUUAAGAAUUGAAUAUUCUGGAAGAGGCUCUUCAGUCCAAUCUUUAGUUCUCUCCACAGAGCAAACGAAGUGAAGUGCUGAAGGCCUGGAGCCCGAGCUGUUCCCACACGGACUCCAGGACAGUUAAGGCAGGGUUGCCUUAACUAAAUCUCUGACAACUGUUUCUUCUGUCUUUCUCCUAAAAAUGGAAUGCAGGCCAUCUAUUCUAGGGAAAUAAAGGAUUCUAGUUAUGUGAAUCCAGGAGCUUUUUUUGUUUGUUUGUUUGAGACAAAGUCUCGCUCUAUCGCCCAGGUUGAAGUGCAGUGGCUCCAUCUCGGCUCACUGCAACCUCCGCC